GAUGAACGCUGACAGAAUGCUUAACACAUGCAAGUCAUUGGCGAAGCUGCGCUUGCGCAGUCUAGCCAAGGCGGACGGGUGAGUAACGCGUAAGGAACUUGCCCUGCAGACAGGGAUAACAGACGGAAACGACUGAUAACACCUGGUAUUGUCAGGCUGGCGCAUGCCGGCCUGAUGAAAGGAGACGCUGCAGGAGAGCCUUGCGUCCUAUUAGCUAGUUGGUGGGGUAACGGCCCACCAAGGCGAUGAUAGGUAGCCGGCCUGAGAGGGUGAACGGCCACAAGGGGACUGAGAUACGGCCCUUACUCCUACGGGAGGCAGCAGUGGGGAAUAUUGGACAAUGGGGGCAACGCUGAUCCAGCAAUUCUGUGUGCACGAAGAAGGUUUUCGGAUUGUAAAGUGCUUUCAGCAGGGAAGAAGAAAGUGACGGUACCUGCAGAAGAAGCGACGGCUAAAUACGUG
rnacentral:rRNA from 1 species